ACGUGACAGAGAUUUUGACAAAAACAGAACAGUAGGUUAAUUCUUGUAAUGGUUUUGCACUGGAAGCUUGUAAACUAGCUUAGGAAAAAAAUCCCUAGGUAAAAUGCUCCCUGAAUCUUUACUAACAAUGCCUUCUUUAAAAGAAUUCAUUACAUACAGUUAUAAUUUCUUUUCAGAGCUAGUGGUUCACUAGUACAUAUGAAGGAGAAAAAAUUCAAGUCUUCUGUGACAAGUUUCUUCAAACUUGACAGUUCUGAAAAGAAGCUAAAAGGAGGAGUGUUAGGAAGAGAGAGCUGUGUCAGCAGCAAACUUUUUUGGAGGUUGGAAGGUUUGAUGGCUAAGAAGACGGGGGAUUCAGUUAAGUGUGUUGCACCUCACAGUGGCAGAAGGGAUCAAUGAUUCCCCAGCUUAGUCAAAUAAUGUGAGUCAGAAAAGAUGGAAAAAGAUGCAUACUGUGAUCAUGUUCCAGUCAUGCUGAGCUAAGCUGAGGGUAGUAUGAUAUAACUUUCUUAUAUGGAUUUCUAAUGCUUAACACCUUUUUUAGGGUUUUGAACCACAUAAUUGAAUCAGGUGUGCUUGCUGAAUUCCACUGAAGAUAACAAUUAGAUCUGUUCUCUUAAGAAUCCAGUCAGCUCACUCGUAUCAUCUGGUAGUUUAUCUCUUAUGACUCAGGCUGUUUCCUGCCAUUCCGCAUGGCUUCAGCCUACUGACUAAUCCACAUUAAAGUGUAUCGCUAUUUCCGCUAAGUAGAGGCAUAUUUUGUAUAAAUGGGAUUUUUUUCUUAGUAGAUAUAUUUCAUAUACUUUUUUCAUGGUUUAAGAAAAGCUAGAAACAACUCACCUUUUUCAGUUAAGAACCCACAUUUUGAGUGAGUACCGCUACAGGUUUGUUAGCCAAACCCAAAAUCUUAUGGCUCAUAAGUAGGAGUAUUUCUCUUCUACAACCAUGAUUACAAGCUUUCAUAAGGGUUUUAAAUGGGAAUAUCUAUGAGAUUAUUGGAUAUAAAGGAAUAUUUCAGAGUGUUUUGGAGAUAAGCAUGGAUUCUAUUGAUUGCGUCAAGCUGAGCUCACGAUUGCUUUUUACUUUUACCCAAAAAUGUUUGUGCAGUCACAUGGUGCACAGAAGUACAUGAAGCUGUACCUAGUCACUCAUUCCUUUGUUAUUAUCACCUCUAUAUGCACAAGCACGUGGCUAGCCAUACGGUCUAAUCACAGCCUAAAUUAUAGCACAGGAUAAUGUAGAGUUGUCUUGGCAGAAAAAUAGCAAGCUAUUAAGUUGUUUAUUGUCGGUAUAUUAAAGACAUCAAAAUCUUUGCUUUGGAAUGCACCAAAAAAAGAGCGUUAGAGCUGAAGCUCUCCAAGUGAAAUUUUCUUUCUCAUUUCCCUCUCAUAUUAUUGGACCUUCGGUGAGCCAAGACCGUUGCUGCACGCUGAGGGAGUUUCCAAAGCUGAUACCUCUGUACUCACCUCUAAAAGCAAAAUUCCUUUAGAUCUACUUCAGAAUGUCGGUUCUAACUGUUCUGGCCAGCUGUGUGCCUCAGCAAUAUAGCAUUAAAUAAAUAAAUAAGAUCAGCACUAAAUGUAAAGUCU
rnacentral:lncRNA from 1 species